UACGUAGGGUGCGAGCGUUAAUCGGAAUUACUGGGCGUAAAGCGUGCGCAGGCGGUUUUGUAAGUCUGACGUGAAAUCCCCGGGCUUAACCUGGGAAUUGCGUUGGAGACUGCAAGGCUGGAGUCUGGCAGAGGGGGGUAGAAUUCCACGUGUAGCAGUGAAAUGCGUAGAGAUGUGGAGGAACACCGAUGGCGAAGGCAGCCCCCUGGGGUAACACUGACGCUCAUGCACGAAAGCGUGGGGAGCAAACAGGAUUAGAAACCCGACG
rnacentral:rRNA from 1 species